rnacentral:tRNA from 1 species
UAGUCAGUUAGUUUAAGGAAAACCUUUGAUUUCGGCUCAAAAACUUAUGGUUAAAGUCCAUAAUUGCCUAA